ensembl:lncRNA
CCCCAAACACUACUGUUAACACUCUUCUACCCAAGCUCAAUCCAAGUCCAGGACCCCCAACCUAUCCGUCUGUCUUUUGCUUUGCUAAAAGAUGCACACACAUGUGCACAGGCACACACACACACACACACACACACACACACACACACACACACACACACACACACCUUUUGUGUGUCUCUAAUCUCUGGAGACCCACCAGGACGACGGCAACGCCACCACCACAGUGUGUCAUGCAGGGGGAGAAUCAAAACAGGAGCAGUGAGACACAUCACACAUGUGAUCCGCUCGCAGUCCACUCGCUACUAUCAUGGACAGCCCCAUAUGGGGUUCCAGAUCCGACACAACAACUGAUCUCUGGCCAAGGCCACUGCAAUGUAAACAGUCCAGGCGGUAGGUCAGAUCUAUUGCACUCGUAAAAUGUCUGAUAUUAAUGUGCAGAUCUGUAAUGUGAACGCAAAGUGAUCUGACGGUCACCAAGGAACCGCAGAGCAUCGCGUUCAGAGGCCGGCCUCGCAAGGUCCCGGCCUCUUACCUCUUUUGCCAAAACAACAACCGCACACACACAGACGGGCACACACACUCUCUCCAUACACACACACACGCACGCACACACACAGCAGGCAGAACCACACACAGCUUCUUAUGCAAACUUGCGUUUGCUGAAAACAAACCAAACCCGAGUCACUGACGCCACUUUCCCAGGGAAUGCACUUCUUCGUUUCCACGACUCUCUCUUGUACCGCUGUCCAUCCUCUCCAUCCCCACCCUUCCCCUAGGUGUUUGUGAUUCGUCUUGUGGUUUAGUAGCCAGAACCCCCCUCCCACAACCCUCCUCUUCCUGCC